rnacentral:rRNA from 1 species
GACGAACGCUGGCGGCGUGCCUAAUACAUGCAAGUCGAGCGAAUCUUUGGGAGCUUGCUCCCAAAGAUUAGCGGCGGACGGGUGAGUAACACGUGGGCAACCUGCCUAUAAGACUGGGAUAACUUCGGGAAACCGGAGCUAAUACCGGAUAAUCCUUUUCCUCUCAUGAGGGGAAGCUGAAAGCGGUUUCGGCUGUCACUUAUAGAUGGGGCCCGCGGCGCAUUAGCUAGUUGGGAGGUAACGGCUCACCAAGGCGACGAUGCGUAGCCGACCUGAGAGGGUGAUCGGCCACACUGGGACUGAGACACGGCCCAGACUCUACGGGAGGCAGCAGUAGGGAAUCUUCCGCAAUGG